GGUGCGUAACGCGUAUCGAACCUGCCGCAUACCCGGGGAUAGCCUUGCGAAAGCAAGAUUAAUACCCGAUGUUCUCACUGUUCCGCAUGUUACGGUGAGCAAAGAAUUUCGGUAUGCGAUGGCGAUGCGUCCCAUUAGCUAGUUGGCGGGGUAACGGCCCACCAAGGCUCCGAUGGGUAGGGGUUCUGAGAGGAAGGUCCCCCACACUGGAACUGAGACACGGUCCAGACUCCUACGGGAGGCAGCAGUGAGGAAUAUUGGUCAAUGGACGCAAGUCUGAACCAGCCAAGUAGCGUGCAGGAUGACGGCCCUCCGGGUUGUAAACUGCUUUUAGUUGGGAAUAAAAGGGGGCUCGUGAGCCCCGUAUUGUAUGUACCAUCAGAAAAAGGACCGGCUAAUUCCGUGCCAGCAGCCGCGGUAAUACGGAAGGUCCGGGCGUUAUCCGGAUUUAUUGGGUUUAAAGGGAGCGUAGGCCGGCUUUUAAGUCAGCUGUGAAAGUCCGCGGCUCAACCGUGGAAUUGCAGUUGAAACUGGAGGCCUUGAGUGCACACAGGGAUGCCGGAAUUCAUGGUGUAGCGGUGAAAUGCUUAGAUAUCAUGAAGAACUCCGAUCGCGAAGGCAAGUGUCCGGGGUGCAACUGACGCUGAGGCUCGAAAGUGCGGGUAUCAAACAGGAUUAGAUACCCUGGUAGU
rnacentral:rRNA from 1 species